AUACGGAGGGUGCAAGCGUUAUUCGGAAUCACUGGGCGUAAAGGACGCGUAGGCGGGUUGGCAAGUCAGAUGUGAAAUCCUACAGCUUAACUGUAGAACUGCAUUUGAAACUGCUAACCUAGAGUAUGGGAGGGGGAGAUGGAAUUAGUGGUGUAGGGGUAAAAUCCGUAGAUAUCACUAGGAAUACCGAAAGCGAAGGCGAUCUCCUGGAACAUAGCUGACGCUAAGGCGUGAAAGCGUGGGGAGCAAACAGGAUUAGAUACCCUAGUAGUCC
rnacentral:rRNA from 1 species